rnacentral:rRNA from 1 species
AACGAACACUGGCGGCAUGCCUAACACAUGCAAGUCGAACGAGACCUUCGGGUCUAGUGGCGCACGGGUGCGUAACGCGUGGGAACCUGCCCUUAGGUUCGGAAUAACUCCCCGACAGGGGUGCUAAUACCGGAUAAUGUCUUCGGACCAAAGAUUUAUCGCCCUUGGAUGGGCCCGCGUUGGAUUAGCUUGUUGGUAGGGUAAAAGCCUACCAAGGCGACGAUCCAUAGCUGGUCUGAGAGGAUGAUCAGCCACACUGGGACUGAGAAACGGCCGAGACUACUGCGGGAGGCAGCAGUGGGGGAUAUUGGAAAACGGGGGAAAGGAUGAUGCAGCACGGCCGGGAGAGUGAUGAAGGUGUGAGGGAAGUAAAGCACUUUAAUCCGGGAUGAUACUGACAGUACCGGGAGAAUAAGCACCGGCUAACUCCGUG